UGGGGAAUAUUGCGCAAUGGGCGAAAGCCUGACGCAGCAACGCCGCGUGAGUGAUGAAGUAUUUCGGUAUGUAAACUUCGAAAGAAUAGGAAGAAUAAAUGACGGUACUAUUUAUAAGGUCCGGCUAACUACGUGCCAGCAGCCGCGGUAAUACGUAGGGACCAAGCGUUGUUCGGAUUUACUGGGCGUAAAGGGCGCGUAGGCGGCAAUUCAAGUCAUCUGUGAAAUCUCCGGGCUUAACUCGGAACGGUCAGAUGAUACUGCUUUGCUAGAGUGCAGAAGGGGCAAUCGGAAUUCUUGGUGUAGCGGUGAAAUGCGUAGAUAUCAAGAGGAACACCUGAGGUGAAGACGGGUUGCUGGGCUGACACUGACGCUGAGGCGCGAAAGCCAGGGGAGCAAACGGGAUUAGAUACCCUGGUAGUCCCUGAGCGGGCUGGCAAGGCGCAU
rnacentral:rRNA from 1 species